GAUGAACGCUGGCGGCGUGCCUAAUACAUGCAAGUCGAGCGAACUUACGAGGAGGUUGUUGCUCCGACCAUAGGAGGAAACGAGAGAGAAACGCGUGGCGAACGUGUCUGUAACACGUGGAUAACUUGCGGAAACGGCUGCGAUAACAGGAGGAUACAUUUAACCAUACGGGUCAACAACGCAAGACGGUUUUCUUGUGUUUAAUAGAUGGAUCUGCGCUCACUUUUGGAUGUAGCAGCGCAGCAUUAGCUAGUUGGUAAGGUAACGGCUUACCAAGGCAACGAUGCGUAGCCGACCUGAGAGACUGAUCGGCCACACUGGAACUGAGACACGGUCCAGACUCCUACGGGAGGCAGCAGUAGGGAAUCUUCCACAAUGGGCGCAAGCCUGAUGGAGCAACGCCGCGUGAGUGAUGAAGGGCUUCGGAUCGUAAAACUCUGUUAUUAGUGAAGAAAAAAAGUGUAAGUAACUAUGCACUUCUUGACGGUAAUUAAUCAGAAAGCCACGGCUAACUACGUG
rnacentral:rRNA from 1 species